UGUUACCACACACAGCUCUGUUCUGGUAUAUGCCGUAGAGUAGUACUAUAUAAUGGAGAACGAGAUGCUGCUACGGAAUGAAUUCUCUGUAUUAUAUUUCUGGUCCUUUGCUGUCCAUGUGGCAUGCCAUCUUGGUGUGGAAGUCUUCCCCCAAAGAGGAGAAGAGGAAAGAAAACAAGGAAAGCAUUGUUUAUACGACGCAGUGCAAGUUAAAAGGCACUUCUGAAAACAAGUGGAACAACGGAUUGGGAGGAUCUAGGAGACAUCUUAUCAUAUUGCCUCGGAUAAGGGAUCACUAUCUCCUGUGUUUUCUGGAUCAGCAUCUCCCUCAACACGUCUCCCGAUGUCAAAGUUUUGUAGAUGGCUGAGCAUGAGUUCUAUAUGCCCUUUUGGGGAUGAGAGUGAGGAAAACAAGUGUGUGUUCCGUGGUUGCACGAAUGCUAGAGAAAUCUGGCUAUUUUUCUCUGGAAAUUUGCAGGAUUGGAUGAACUGGGAUUCAAGGCAUGAGGCUGGAUGUAGCAAAGUACAACGCUGGACAUGGAGGAAGCAGUAUUGGCGGGCUGAAAAGUGCAUGCCUGUUCAAGCUUCUGGAGGAUACAGCAAAUAAGGACUUCAACAACAGGAUGUUCAAUCCAGCUCCAAAGGGAGCGCUUAAAAUGGAUGCCAUCACCGGAGUGAUGUCUGGGAAUUGAUGUGGAUGCUUCUGUGGACAUACAGCAGCACGAUGCUUGCGGAGGAACAAUACGAGAUACUGAAGCUAUUUGGGUCAUAGGAACAACACCACACGUUGAAAUUUCUAAUGGCCAGAAACUUGUCAUGUUCUACAAAGUUUUCUCACCUAGAAACAGUCGGAUAUAGUUUUCUCACCCCCGAUUACACUAUAUUACAUCACAUUACAUCCUCCUGAUUCUUUUUCUUUA